AGACUUAUAAGUUUAAACUUAUACAAUCCAAACCUUAAAACAGAAAAUAAGAAUAAAGUACAAUUUACAAAAACUUAAUAUACAUCUCUGUACUAAACUAUAUAAACUGCUGGAGGUGAUCUAGUACACGUCCAAAAAGGCUCUAGCUAGCCGCUGACCCCUCGCCAGGAACCCUAGCCUUUCCCGCUGUGGAAGGCUCUGUAAAAACAACAACAAAGAGGGCAUGAGAACUAUUAAACAAUAGUUCCCAGUGGGUAAGCCGCCAAGAGUGGCGAAGAACACCACUAGGUCAACUGUGGCAUGAGUAGAUAGUGAUAAGUAAGCAAGU
rnacentral:lncRNA from 1 species